GGGCAUGUGGUCUAGUGGUAUGAUAUUCGCUUUGCAUCUGGUUCCUUCGGACGGAUAUCUGCGAAGGGUCCGGGGUUCAAUUCCCUGCAUGUCCA